GGAGUACGGCCGCAAGGCUAAAACUCAAAGGAAUUGACGGGGGCCCGCACAAGCGGCGGAGCAUGUGGAUUAAUUCGAUGCAACGCGAAGAACCUUACCUGGGUUUGACAUGCACCAGACAUCCCUAGAGAUAGGGCUUCCCUUGUGGUUGGUGUGCAGGUGGUGCAUGGUUGUCGUCAGCUCGUGUCGUGAGAUGUUGGGUUAAGUCCCGCAACGAGCGCAACCCUUGUUCCAUGUUGCCAGCACGUUAUGGUGGGGACUCAUGGGAGACUGCCGGGGUCAACUCGGAGGAAGGUGGGGAUGACGUCAAGUCAUCAUGCCCCUUAUGUCCAGGGCUUCACACAUGCUACAAUGGCUCAUACAGAGGGCUGCGAGACCGUGAGGUGGAGCGAAUCCCUUAAAGUGAGUCUCAGUUCGGAUCGGGGUCUGCAACUCGACCCCGUGAAGUUGGAGUCGCUAGUAAUCGCAGAUCAGCAACGCUGCGGUGAAUACGUUCCCGGGCCUUGUACACACCGCCCGUCACGUCACGAAAGUUGGUAACACCCGAUAGCUGGCUGGCCCAA
rnacentral:rRNA from 1 species